rnacentral:rRNA from 1 species
GACGAACGCUGGCGGCGUGCUUAACACAUGCAAGUCGAACGGAAACGCCCUGCUUUUGUGGGCUGCUCGAGUGGCGAACGGGUGAGUAACACGUGAGUAACCUGCCCUUUACUUUGGGAUAACUUCAGGAAACUGGGGCUAAUACCGGAUAGGAGCUCCUGCUGCAUGGUGGGGGUUGGAAAGUUUCGGCGGUUGGGGAUGGACUCGCGGCUUAUCAGCUUGUUGGUGGGGUAGUGGCUUACCAAGGCUUUGACGGGUAGCCGGCCUGAGAGGGUGACCGGCGACAUUGGGACUGAGAUACGGCCCAGACUCGUACGGGAGGCAGCAGUGGGGAAUAUUGCACAAUGGGCGGAAGCCUGAUGCAGCAACGCCGCGUGCGGGAUGAAGGCCUUGGGGUUGUAAACCGCUUUCGCCUGAGACGAAGCGUGAGUGACGGUAAUGGGUAAAGAAGCACCGGCUAACUACGUG